UCAACUGCCGUUUGCCUCGCCGCUUUCCAAGGCUUCUCGAAACAAAACAAAACAAACAGACCGAAUCAAUCUCCCUCUCUCUAAGAAGUGCGUGUUCUUUCAUUGUUUCAUAUGUUUGAUUGUAACAGUCUUUUCUGGCAAAACCACUUCUGCGAAAACAUUCUUAAUUUCUGUUACGAAACUUGGUUCCUGGUUUUCCGGCAGCUUCCAAAUUGGUAUUCUGGGAGACCAAGAUGGAGAAAGAGCCUCUGCUACCGUAUCUAAGCCCAAGAAAAAGACCACCAUCGGUGCUAGCGCCACUCCCUGAAGACAACGAGAUCUCUCUCCCUCUAACCCCUUCUGCGCUCAAAGACCGCCUCAUCUUUGGCCCUUCAUCUUCCCCACAAGAAUCCUCCCCAAUUGUUGAUGCCUUGACCCUUUCUCUCAGCUCCCCAAGACCCUCUCCUUCUUCUUCUUCAUCUUCUUUAGACACCACUACCCUGCUAGACCCUCAAUCACAAUCUCUGUUACAGUCUUCACAAGCUUGGCUCAUCGACCCCAAUUAUUCAUGGACCAAGACCAAUCUCCACCGCUCCAAAACAGCGCCAGCUAUGGCGGUUAUCAACGAAAUUAACAACCCUUCUUCGCCUAGACCGCAACUCGGCUCCCAAUCGAUUGUGGGCCAAGCGUGUGUGCUUCUUAUUUUGUAUUUAUCCUUGGGAGUGGUUAUAUAUUGGUUUAACAGGGACAAUUUCACGGCGACUGAGACGCACCCAGUUGUGGAUGCUCUGUAUUUUUGCAUUGUGACAAUGUGCACAAUUGGUUAUGGUGAUAUUACGCCGGCUAGCACAGCAACCAAGUUGUUUUCCAUAAUGUUUGUGUUGGUGGGGUUUGGUUUUAUUGAUAUUCUGCUUACUGGGAUGGUGAGCUAUGUGCUUGAUUUGCAGGAGAGUUAUUUGUUGAAGACUGUGAAGGGUAGGGGUGAGAAGGAUACGGCGAGGUCGUAUUUAGUGGAUGUGAAGAAGGGGAGGAUGAGAAUUAGGAUGAAGGUGGCUUUGGCAUUGGGGGUUGUGGUUCUUUGUAUUGGGAUUGGUAUGGGCGUAAUGCAUUUUGUGGAGAAGCUUGAGUGGUUGGAUGCGUUUUAUCUUUCGGUUAUGUCGGUUACGACAGUCGGGUAUGGUGACCGGGCAUUUCAGUCUUUGCCGGGUCGGAUUUUUGCUUCCAUUUGGUUGCUUGUAUCGACACUGGCGGUUGCUCGAGCUUUUCUGUAUCUGGCGGAGGCGAGAGUAGAUAAGCGGCAUAGGAGGAUGGCAAAGUGGAUUCUUGGUCAGGAUAUGACUGUCUCCGAGUUUCUUGCUGCUGACAUUGACAACAAUGGCUUUGUCAGUAAAUCGGAAUACGUUAUAUACAAGCUCAAGGAGAUGGGAAAGGUAUCGGAGAAAGACAUUAUGCAGAUCUGCAACAAAUUUGAUAGACUAGACACUGGAAACUGUGGAAAGAUAACUCUUGCUGAUCUCAUGGAGAAUUAUCAUUGAUACACAAGAACAGUGGAUGAAGCAUGAUUGAUACAAGUGCGUGAAAAACUCCCAUGGUUUUGUUUCCCACUUGAUUUUACCAACCAGUUUAGACGAUGAAGGUCACUGCAUGUUCCAACUAGCUCUUACCCAUCAUGAUAUGAGUGGUAGAUCAGGAGUUUCGAUACGUGGAACAAUUUACUGCUGGAAGGUUCGGAUGGAGAGAAGGGGUCUUUGUGGUAGGGUGGGAGCAAAUCUUAGUGGUUAGUAGUGACACAAACUGAAAAUGGUUUGACAGCUGACAAAGAUACGAUCAGAGUUGAUUACAUGUUCUCUUUUCUGAGCACUUGAAAGCUAGUGAUCAUUCUUCUUGUAACACUUGGGAUGAUUUGUGUAGACAAUAAGCCAGUUCGGUGCAUUUUAAGGGGAGGGUGAAAAGUUGGACUCGUUUUGUUCAUGGAAUCCAGAUGGGUUUCCCAUUUGUUUCUCUAGAAAUUGUCAGGAUUUCAUGAUUGGUUAUUACUUUUCUACUUAAGAAUCUCUUGUUUAUGCAGGUUUCAUGCUUCCACGUUUCAAGAAAGAAAACGUGAUUACCACACAUUUAGUUUUGACCUUGACAACCUCGGAUUCCCAUGGGUUUUCAUUAAAAUUUCGUGGAAAUGUGAUUAAAUAACAUGCAUCAUAUCCACCUGUGUCGGGUUUGAGGCAUGACAUCUACGGAUCUGAAUCUCUAGUAAUUUGUUGCAUAAAUUAUUACAACGUUCAUGCCCAAAAUUUGUUUGGGCAGAUGGAUUCUUACAUUUACUAUCCGAAUUGUUAGUAAUUGAGACAGUAAAAUCGCUGAAGAUCUAGAUCUGAUGACCUC